rnacentral:rRNA from 1 species
GCAUAUCAAUAAGCGGAGGAAAAGAAACCAACAGGGAUUGCCCCAGUAACGGCGAGUGAAGCGGCAACAGCUCAAAUUUGAAAUCUGGCUUCGGCCCGAGUUGUAAUUUGCAGAGGAAGCUUUAGGCGCGGCACCAUCUGAGUCCCCUGGAACGGGGCGCCAAAGAGGGUGAGAGCCCCGUAGAGAUGGACGCCUAGCCUGUGUAAAGCUCCUUCGACGAGUCGAGUAGUUUGGGAAUGCUGCUCAAAAUGGGAGGUAAAUUUCUUCUAAAGCUAAAUACCGGCCAGAGACCGAUAGCGCACAAGUAGAGUGAUCGAAAGAUGAAAAGCACUUUGAAAAGAGGGUUAAAUAGCACGUGAAAUUGUUGAAAGGGAAGCGCUUGUGACCAGACUUGCGCCGGGCAGAUCAUCCGGUGUUCUCACCGGUGCACUCUGCCCGGCUCAGGCCAGCAUCGGUUCUCGCGGGGGGAUAAAGGCGCCGGGAACGUAGCUCCUCCGGGAGUGUUAUAGCCCGGCGUGUAAUGCCCUCGCGGGGACCGAGGACCGCGCAUCUGCAAGGAUG